AACACGUGGGUAACCUGCCUGUAAGACUGGGAUAACUCCGGGAAACCGGAGCUAAUACCGGAUAGUUCCUUGAACCGCAUGGUUCAAGGAUGAAAGACGGUUUCGGCUGUCACUUACAGAUGGACCCGCGGCGCAUUAGCUAGUUGGUGGGGUAAUGGCUCACCAAGGCGACGAUGCGUAGCCGACCUGAGAGGGUGAUCGGCCACACUGGGACUGAGACACGGCCCAGACUCCUACGGGAGGCAGCAGUAGGGAAUCUUCCGCAAUGGACGAAAGUCUGACGGAGCAACGCCGCGUGAGUGAUGAAGGUUUUCGGAUCGUAAAGCUCUGUUGUUAGGGAAGAACAAGUGCGAGAGUAACUGCUCGCACCUUGACGGUACCUAACCAGAAAGCCACGGCUAACUACGUGCCAGCAGCCGCGGUAAUACGUAGGUGGCAAGCGUUGUCCGGAAUUAUUGGGCGUAAAGGGCUCGCAGGCGGUUUCUUAAGUCUGAUGUGAAAGCCCCCGGCUCAACCGGGGAGGGUCAUUGGAAACUGGGAAACUUGAGUGCAGAAGAGGAGAGUGGAAUUCCACGUGUAGCGGUGAAAUGCGUAGAGAUGUGGAGGAACACCAGUGGCGAAGGCGACUCUCUGGUCUGUAACUGACGCUGAGGAGCGAAAGCGUGGGGAGCGAACAGGAUUAGAUACCCUGGUAGUCCACGCCGUAAACGAUGAGUG
rnacentral:rRNA from 1 species